AGUGAGGCUAGAGGAGCAAACUCCAUCAGUAAGUAUGUGUAGAAGGUUGAGCUUUGAUGAAGCAUACUAAAAGGGGAUUUUGCCGAAGCUAAAUAAGAAGCUCAUCUUUUAUUUAGCUGGGACUGUAUUUAAUAAAUGCAGGACUGUCAUAUAGCAUGGAGCUAUAUGGAGGGCUAUCUCACGC
rfam:Bacillus alcalophilus ATCC 27647 = CGMCC 1.3604 strain AV1934 contig00001, whole genome shotgun sequence.